GCUUUCUCUUCUCAAGGGUUGUUAAACAAUCCUUCUAUGACCUAUUGGAAGAUAGUCUCUCUUAGAAUUAUCCAUGUUGAACUACUAUAAUAUGAUACUGAUGUACGUGGAUUGGGACAAUCCAAGCACCCUUCUAGAUCAUCUCUAUAGAUCUUCAUCCCUAGGAUGUAGGAUGCUUCUUCUAGGUCUUUCAUAGAGAACUAUAAUGAUAACUACAGUUUCACACUCUGCA
rnacentral:lncRNA from 1 species